CAACCCUCAAGCCCUGGUUGCUUGGUAAUGGGGCAUCUACGGUCACCCGUAGGCCCUGAAAAACAUUGGCGGGCUUGCUGUGAACCCGAGCGUAGUACAUCAUAUCUCGCUUAGGGGCUUACAGUGGGUGUUAGCCGUUAAACCCCUUUAUUUUUAACAAGG
rnacentral:misc_RNA from 1 species